GGACGGAUCCGAGAAGCUGGCAGGGCUCGGCAGUAGGGGUGUUUGGUCUGAGGACGAGCUGAGGAGGGAAGCGGCUCGUAAACAAGUGGAGUUAGAGUGAGGAAAUGCUGCAGCGCGAAGCUGGGAGACGGCAUCGACAGAGGGGAGGCUCGGAACAUCCGUGUGCCAACAAGAUGAAGUAAAGCUAAGAUUAAUGGGAUUCAGUAAUGCAAAUAGAAGGCAACGGCGAUCUCUUCAAGUAGAUCCCCCCGGCUUGGCAGCGGAUUAGGGGUCGGAGCGGUAGGCAGCGGGAUGGCAGCGUGCUGCUGCUGUGAGGGGCUCAGAAAGUACGUGAGUAAAAAGGCCGCCCUCUGGAACGUGCUACGGGAGGGCCUCCGUCGGCUGUGCAAAAUGUUGAUGUCGGAGUGCAUGGCUGCUGAGACCUGACCUGCAGCCCAGCUGAUUGCCCGCAUUCAGAUAAACGGUUCUGAACAGAUGCAGAAUAGGGCUGUGGAUGUUAAGAGGAGUGAAGAGUCUGCUUGCUGGGAGACAGAAAAGUUGAAAGUUGUGUGAUUUCUAUGUGUGGGAGGAAAAGAACUUGCAAGCUUAAAGAAAGCGAAUGCAGUUCAUUGGAAAUAGCAAGAAAAGUUCUCACUGUUCUGUAAAUGCUCUGGAGAGGUUUCAAAUGCGCAAGAAAACUCAAUUUCUUUUAAAAUAAAGUUUGAAAAAAAUCAGAAAAGAAGAUCAGUGUGUGGCUCUGCAGAGUAGUGGGGAGUUUGGCUCAGGAAUCCUGAAUGUCCCAUCUACUAGUUCAGUGUUCUUGUGACCCAGCAAAAUGGACUAUGAGAUGGAUGAGUACUUCUGCAGUGGGCCCAUUUUGAUACAGCUGGUGUCAUCAUGCUUUCUUUUUCUAUUAUUCAAGUUUGGUUUUUUUCUUUGGGACCCUUACCAGAAGCAGAAUUAUAUUCACUACCAGAUGCAUCUCAUGUGUACGUUUGGCAUUAUGCUCACAGAAAGGAAGCCAUGUUGUUUACCUUGCUCACUUCAACGUGUGAAGUUUCUGUACAUUUCCACCCUUAUAUAUCGAAUAACUGUUGAGGUGUACUCACACAGCUCUGCAGGACUUUCUGUCCCUAGGUGUGCUAUUAGUAGAAAUCCUCAUGGAACAAUUUCUAGGAAAAUAUUUAAAUGAAAAACUUGAAGUCUUCUAGGGCAAGGCAAUAUUGCAUUCGUGAAUGUUGUACAGUCAGCUCCCUUGUGAUGUUACCUGAGACCUUAUAUCUUUCUUCUGCUUUUAUUUUUAGAGUCUGUAGUUUUUACGUACCGCACUUAGUACCAAAAAGUUAACAGAAGGACGUUGACAUUACAGAAUGUUGCUCUUCAGACCAAGGCUGCCAUGGUCCAGGCAGACAUUUUAGAUUCCUUCCUGGCACCAUUGCUAUCUGGGAACUCUCCAAACACAGGAAAUUAAACAAUCAUUGCUCAGUCAUCCUUUUUCAUUUUUAUCUUUUAGCCCACAACUGUUCCAGGUUAUUCAGAGAGGAAAAAAAAAAAAUUAUGGAGGUAACAUCCCGUUCAGUGGUCAGUAAAAAACUAAGUGAUCGAAUCACUCUCUUCAUCAACGCAUGCGUUAAGUGCUUCCAGUGGCUCAUUUUCUAGUUGCUGAAACCGAGUAGUGAAUAGAUUAUAGGGAUUAAACUUCUUUCAUUCCCCUAGAGGUGAGCAAGUCAUGUGAAAAUGAAAGGCUUAUUUGGUAGGAGACAGUAUGAAAGACUGGGAAUACAAAUGUUUGUUUGUUUGUUUAUUUAUUUAUUUAUUUAUUUAUUUAUUUAUUAUCUCUAAAUGGUAGCAUGUGAGCUACAGACAGAAACUCGAGGCUCACAGGGCAGAAAUGUAACUGAACUAAAUAUGAGUAUGGAAUGAAACAUGCUUGGUCAUUAUUGAAACUGGAUUCCUGAAAAGUUUUUCUUUUAUCGUAAGUUUGACUUUUCUGAAGAAAAAUAUACCUGUUCAUAGCAUAGCAUCUUUCUCUUUUCCUUCUCCUGAUCUUUUUGAAUUAGAAGGAAGUUGUCUUUCCCACUGUAGUGCUGGGAACACAGUACAAGGGCUACAACAAAGGAAGAUUUUCUGACUUGAUGUGCUCAGAUCAUCCUACAAGGCAUUCCACUGGGGAACGAGGCAGUUUCGCUGGUGUCACCAUUUACUGUCCUCCUCUUGUGCUGAUGUUUCCAGAGGGAUACUGUUUCAUACCCCCUGAAUAGGUGGCCUUCUGCAUGGGAGCAUUAUUACGGUGUCUUUUGUCUUUUAUGUAGUUUACUUCCUCAUACUCCAAGAAUGAAAAAACGGUCAAAGGAGAGGAAAUGAUAGGGUAGCUCCCUUAGAAGAGCCUCUCCUAGGAAAAAAUAGUUCAGAACCCCUAAAAUCAUCUUACAGUUGGUACAAAAGCUGCUGGUUGUUGUUGUUAUAGCAGCAUCUACAGGAAUAGAAAUAGCAAGAAGAGAAAUAGGAAGGCUGGCAUUCCCUCGCUCUCUCCCCAACUUGUGAAAAUUUUAGGAAGGAAAUUUACAUAUUUUGGAGCUACAAUUUCUGCAGUGCCUUCUUAUGCAGAAGCUUACCUACAAAUUUAAUCAAGCUAUCUUAUUAGAUAAAAAUACUAUCUGUACUUGUUUAAUAGUGGUGGUGGUCGUUUCUGUGGGAGGAGUUGAAAUGAUUGCCACCAUUCUUAACUGCUGUUAAGGGAGAUGGCAGUUUGAUUUAAACUAUGAAGGUGUAAUGAGUUUUGCUCUCCCACCAUCUCGCACAAAGAAGUACUCAGAGAGGACAGACUUAACCGAUUUGAGCCAGGCAGUGAUCUGCUACCAUCAAUUUCCCAACGUUGUACUGCCGUUUGAUGCUUCAGUUACAGUCCAUGAAUGGAAGAGUGGAACACGUGGAUGUCUUUUUGGCAUCUGAAGCUGCUGAGUUGCCUGCUUGGGAUGUUCGAGAGAGGACCUGCGUUUAUCUGCCUCUUAAGGAUAUGCAACAGAUUUUCUCUUCUUUCCCUACUAGUGCUGUAGUUAACUCUGUGCCCUGCUGUUUCCUCACAUCUAACCAUGAGUAACACAUCUUGCUUUAUGGGCAUUCUUUGAAGCAUAAUUCAUGGUUGUGAAAUACUGGCAGUGGCCAAGACAGAAAACCUUCUGGAAGUACCAGAUUCUGGUGGGGCAUCCAGCAUAUGAAUGUUUGAGGAAGCACUGAAGGAACAAGGACUUUUCUAAAGGAUAUGAUGACAAAGCUACUCCACUUGAAUAUGGGAAAAGAGAAGUAGUUAUGUGGAAGAGAUGAAGUGCUGUGUGAUUCCUGCCCCAAAGAUAGGAUCCAGCUGGUGCUAGACAAAGUCUGUCGAUGACAGCAGUUGGAUUGGAUGGAGGUGGGUGGAGGGCUUGGGCACAGUUUCACGCUCAGUACACUCCACAAAAGGAUUCAGUGAAAGAGAGAUGAGUGUGGUGGUGAAAACGUGGUCGUAGAUGAGGAGAAAAAGGUUUCUUAUCAAACGUAGUCCAUCAUCUAGGUCUGGAAGUGACUUCAUCAUGCAAGGUGACACUGCAUGCUGGUGGUGGCACGAGGAACACACAUUCCUGAACUUUGUUCAUUUUAUAUGGACAAAUAUCUGUAUCCCUUAUCUACAGUUACGAAACUAGAUAGCAGAGACAUCAAGGAUUAAACAAUGAGAACACAUUUUGUUUCUACAGAUGAUAUUUUCAGCUCAAAAUCAAUACAUUUCAAUGGGCUGUAGGAUUGAGAAAGGUUAAUCUUCUAUUGCUUCAGCCCGUACUGUGUCUCUUUACUGAAGACGUUCUGUGCUUGGAUUUCUGCAGCAUGCACAACUAUUAGGGUUGUUUUGAAGAAAUACUUGCUUGGUUUUCAGCGCUAUUGGUGAUUGAAAAAACAAACCACCAAACUUUCAUAUGUAUGUUUUACUCAAAGUUUUUCCAGUUUUGCAUGAGGAGUGGAUCUGGAGCCUCGUAAUAAUCUCAUUGUAAUAAUUUAUAAGAACUCUGAACAGGGAAUGGGGGGAAAAAAAAAAAGGAAUUAUGUUAAGUAAGAGACAGCAGAGCUCACUUGCUAAUUAGGGUGGGAAGAAGUCAAAAAUCCCUAUAUAAAGUAGUAGAAGCUUAUAGUGCUGUUAAUGUUAUUUCCUAUUCUAUUUAAGAGAAAUGGAGUGGACCUAUUCAUAAAGAUCAGUAGACUUGACUAGUUAAUAUGCAAACAACUGUCUUGCUUUUAUUUCUGUUCAGCUUCCAUUGCUACAUUUAUCUAGUGUGAUUAGUUGUUGAGAAAUAAGGGACUUUAAUCCCUAGAGCAUAAGGGUGUGCUGAUGAUGCCUCCAUUUCUUUUAAGAAACAAGAAGAUAUGUGCAAUUGUAGCACAGUGUGGUAACCUAAGAAGCCUCAAUGAUUUAGUUUGAAAGACUUGUUUUUCAGGCUUGUGUUUACAGGUUCCUGUCCUUCUGAUAGAAACUAUAGACAAAGGUGUGCAAAUGCAGGGUUAGAGAAACGUUCAAAUGAGAAAUUGUGCCUGUUUGCUGCUACAGGUGCUUUCAGGAAGGGGAGGGAAUACUGAUUUUUUUAGUUCCUUUUGCUUGAGCUCUGUAAGAGGGAUGGAGGAGGUGCCUAAGAAAAGUCUCAGGACUGGGAAUCCCAAGCAAGAUAGCUUACUUCAACCUGGAGCUGGGAUUCAUGUAUGAAGUGUCCUGAGAGAUUUAUUGACCUGUCCAUCUGGUUCAUGUAAAGAGUUUUUCACUUUAACUAGGCUGGUCAGAUCCCAUUCUUAUAUGCUUUUCUGCAUUAUACACUGGGGCAGGGUGUCUAAUUUGGAGCUUGGGAUUUGGGCAAAGAAGAAGUGCAGCACUCAGCGGUGCAAUAGCUGGGCUCUACUGGAUCUGGCCUCACUGCAACGUGUGUGAGUAAUGGUAACACAGUCAUAAGAACAGAAUGACUGUACGGGGGAGAGAGCUGCACUUGACUCGCUAGGGUGAAAAACAUAUUUGUAAAGGGAUUCAAUUAGUGCUGAGUACAAGAAUGCCACUUAGUGAAACAAGUGACUGUACCUCUUUUUCAGCGGCAGAGAAAAGUGACACGUCCUGGAUAACCAGCAGUCCCCGUUCCUAUUCUCGGUGUCCCUGCAGAGCUGAUGGCACCGCGGGCUGGGUUAGUCAGAGCCGAGCGAGGGAUGAGUGCCAGCCCCAGUGUGCUGUGCUGCCUGGCCACCCGGCUGCGUGCCCAGCCUGCCAGUGCGGGGGAUUCCCGGCUGUGGAGCCCGCAGGGAGGGGCCCUCAGUACUUUGGGAGCAAGGCAGGAGAGAGUGAGCACGUGUGAAGGGCUGCAGUGUGAUCUCACCGAGAUGUGGGGCUGCCUAGGAGGUACUUGCAUGCCAGCAAGGUCACAGGAGAUCUUGAAAGUAACAAUUGAAUGUCUCUAGUGUUUGGCUCUGCCCUAUUCAUUCCGGUUUAUUUCUCCUUUUUGCCUUUAGACUUCUCCGUGUCUAUAGCUCUGCCUCCCUAUUUUUCAUUUUUUUUUUUGCUGUUUUAUUCACACGUGUACUUACCCCUUUAGCUUUCGUAACUUCUUUCUCUGUUAUCUCUGCUGUGAUCUGCCACACAGUUGGGCCACCUUCCAUGUGAUGGAGCGAUGUAGCUAAGCUGUAGAUUGCCUUACGCUUGCAACACUGCAACCCCGAGGGAGAUUGCAUCUGCAGAGAUCUGCCUUCAUGCCUGGAUUGAUAAGUGACGCUGGGGAAGCAUCUUGGCAAGAUGCUGCUGCAGUAUCCCAUCUCCUCAUCGCAUCGCCCUCUGGAAGACAGAAGUGACGAUCAGCGGUGUGCUGGUGUCCUGCAGGCAGUUGAAAAACCACUUUGACAGCUAGCAGGAGAACAACUAUGCAGUGUAAUCACAGCCUGUCUGUGCUUUCUAACAAUGUACAGUAGCACCCUAUUCCCAGUGAGGGGAUGCUGUAACCUCCCUCUGAUGAUCUCUAUUCUCCGUUACUGUAACCAAGCUGUUUCUUUCCACAGCCAUGUUGUUCCUGCAGAAAUACCAAGGAUACCCCACACAGAUUAAGGUUUACAAAUUCAGGAAGGGCUUGGACAGAGCAAAAGGAGAAUGAAGUAAUUCCAAAAUAUUUACACUCUGGCUGAUAAAAGCAGCAGGAGAGCUAACUUGGUGCGUGGGGCUCUGCUGUAGGAUGGAAGGAAACCCGGGGACAAACUGUCUCCUCUUAGACCUGCUGUAAGUGCUGUAUGAUAAAGGUGAAUUUCCAAACUUAGCCAUAAAGCCGCAGGUCAGCCAGCAGGACAGCAGCUUGUCCCAGUUCCCACUGCAGGCUGUAUGGAAGCUGUAUGUUGGAUCCGAUGGGGUUUGAAUCCUACCACGAAAACAGUGGCUGUUCUCAAGGUCACGAGCACAGCUUUCUGUUAUGUGGUUUUGAAUGGAAGAAUUAUUGUAUAUCUGUUUAUGUAAAAUGGAAAAUGUGAAAAAAAUAUAUAUAUUUUUUUUCUUUAAUAAAUCUAUGAAACGAA